CUUGCGACCGUACUCCCCAGGAAUCGGGAAUAUUGGUACAAUGGGNGCAACCUGAUCCAGCCAUGCCGCGUGAGUGAUGAAGGCCCUAGGGUUGUAAAGCUCUUUACGCGGUGAAGAUAAUGACGGUACCGAGAAGAAGCCCCGGAAACUUCUGCAGCAGCGCGGAAUACGAGGGGGCUAGCGUUGUUCGGAUUUACCUGGGCGUAAGCGCACGUAGGCGGGAUUNAGAGUNCGGGGUGAAAUCCCUGGGCUCAACCCUGGAANCUGCCUUAUACUGUAUCUUAUAUGAUAUAGGCGACUGGAAUGCGUGUGUCGAGGUGAAAUNCUAGAUAUUUCGCAGGAACACAUUGGCAUAAGGUGGAAACUGGAUCCAUUAUGACGCUUAAUGCUAGCUGACGCUGCAACGGAAUGCGAUACCUGGAGCCCCACCCGUUACCCUUGGAAUUUUAGCCCCUCCGGGGAGUAUAAUACUUUCGUGGGCCGAGUACCGCCUAAAUUUCCCCCAGGAAGACGUCCCCUUUUGAAAAAAAGAAAU
rnacentral:rRNA from 1 species